GGCCUUCAAUGAUGUCUUGCACUGGGCUCUGAAUGACUGUGGGGAUAACGUGCUGCUCCGCUCUUGACAUGGCGGAGCCUGAGGUGGCU